rfam:Myotis brandtii contig300310, whole genome shotgun sequence.
GGAUGUGAGGGCGAUCUGGCUGCGACAUCUGUCACCCCAUUGAUCGCCAGGGUUGAUUCGGCUGAUCUGGAUGGCUAGGCGGGUGUCCCCCUCCUCCCUCACUGAUCCAUGUGAGUCCCUCCUGAAGCUACGCGCUCGGUUGAAGAGGACGACCUUCCACCCCAAGGAGAGGACCGGUCUUCGGUCAAGGGUAUACGAGUAGCUGCGCUCCCCUGCUAGAACCUCCAAACAAGCUCUCAAAUUAGUGAAUGUGGAAUGCCAUAUGAUCAAAAUAAUACUUAAAUAAUUAAGAGUUACAUCCUAUAUAA